rnacentral:lncRNA from 1 species
CCAAGGUCUGAUGGACAGGUUCCAACCUGGAGAAUUGGAAAUGCUGACGCUGGCUAUGGCUGGAGGUACUGCACCUUUGAGAGACAGGAACAGGUGAAAUAAGAAAGAGGAGAGGGAGAGACAAAGGAUACCUUGUCUAUCAAAAAUCUAAUGAAAAAUCCGUCCCUUAUCGCUGCUGGAGGUCUUAUGAAGACUGAGUUAACUGUCUGUCUCUAAGGCCAGUGUGCUUUGCUCCCAGCCUGCUUCUGCUCAGUCUUCAGGACCACUCUGUUGCAGGGGUUUCACAGCAGAGAUCUGAGAGGUGGUGGUGUGCUUCCAGUCGACAGCCAACCCUCUGGAAAAGGUUUGGAAGGAGUGGAUGCCUGAGGUAGCAGUCACAGGGAUGUAGUUGAGACAUCGCGCAACUGGUGA